UCCUGGGAUAGCUCAGUCGGUGGAGCAUGAGACUCUCAAUCUCAGGGUUGUGAGUUCAAGUCCCGUGUUGGGCA